rnacentral:tRNA from 1 species
UCCGGAUUAGCUCAGUGGUAGAGUAGAUGACUGUUAAUCAUUUGGUCGUUGGUUCGAAUCCAACAUCCGGAGCCA